UACGGGGGGGGCAAGCGUUGUUCGGAAUUACUGGGCGUAAAGGGCGCGUAGGCGGCCCUCUAAGUCGAACGUGAAAUCCCCGGGCUCAACCCGGGAACUGCGUCCGAUACUGGAAGGCUUGAAUCCGGGAGAGGGAUGCGGAAUUCCAGGUGUAGCGGUGAAAUGCGUAGAUAUCUGGAGGAACACCGGUGGCGAAGGCGGCAUCCUGGACCGGCAUUGACGCUGAGGCGCGAAAGCCAGGGGAGCAAACGGG
rnacentral:rRNA from 1 species